AGUGCCUCCUCGCAGUUUCUCCCUUCCGUGAAGAUGUGCUUUCCCAGCAGGAACGUUGCAAUGAGGGAAACACAAUGCUCAGGACGCUCUCUGAGCUGCACGUGAGCAGACUGACAGGCAAUGACAAGAGGCUGAAGACGAAGCUCUUGUCAACACUAAAGACCUGCAUUGAAAAAUGCAAUCCAGAUUUCUUGGGAGACCAUCAGCAGGACGCCCAUGAGUUUUUGAUGGUCAGCCUGUCCCAUCUGAAAGAAGAGGGCGAGCUUCUGCGGAGCUACUGGC